rnacentral:rRNA from 1 species
AGUGAACGCUGGCGGUAGGCCUAACACAUGCAAGUCGAACGGCAGCACAGUAAGAGCUUGCUCUUACGGGUGGCGAGUGGCGGACGGGUGAGGAAUACAUCGGAAUCUACUUUUUCGUGGGGGAUAACGUAGGGAAACUUACGCUAAUACCGCAUACGACCUACGGGUGAAAGCAGGGGAUCUUCGGACCUUGCGCGAUUGAAUGAGCCGAUGUCGGAUUAGCUAGUUGGCGGGGUAAAGGCCCACCAAGGCGACGAUCCGUAGCUGGUCUGAGAGGAUGAUCCGCCACACUGGACCGGAGACCCGGUCCAGCCUCCCACGGGGGGCAGCAGUGGGGAAUUUUGGCAAAUGGGCGCAAGCCUGAUCCAGCCAUCCCGCGUGGGUGAAGAAGGCCUUCGGGUUGUAAAGCCCUUUUUUUGGGAAAAAAAAGCAGCAGGUUAAUACCCCGCUGUUCUGCCGGUCCCCAAAGAAUAAGCCCCGGCUAACUUCGU